rnacentral:rRNA from 1 species
UGGGGAAUUGUUCACAAUGGGCGCAAGCCUGAUGACGCAACGCCGCGUGGGGGAUGAAGGUCUUCGGAUCGUAAACCCCUGUCGAAUGGGACGAAAGACUCGCGAGUGAAUACUUCGCGAGAGUGACGGUACCGUUAAAGGAAGCCACGGCUAACUCUGUGCCAGCAGCCGCGGUAAUACAGAGGUGGCAAGCGUUGUUCGGAAUUACUGGGCGUAAAGGGCGCGUAGGCGGCCCUCUAAGUCAGACGUGAAAUCCCCCGGCUUAACCUGGGAACUGCGUCUGAUACUGGAGGGCUUGAGUAUGGGAGAGGGAUGUAGAAUUCCAGGUGUAGCGGUGAAAUGCGUAGAUAUCUGGAGGAAUACCGGUGGCGAAGGCGGCAUCCUGGACCAUUACUGACGCUGAGGCGCGAAAGCUAGGGGAGCAAACGGGGAUUAGAUACCCAGGUAGUCCCUGAGCGGGCUGGCAAGGCGCAU